rnacentral:rRNA from 1 species
UUGAAUUCCCGUUGAUCCUGCGGGGGAUUGCUGCUAUCAGGAUUCGAUUAAGCCAUGCAAGUCAGGUCAGCAAUGGCCGGCAACAGGCUCAGUAACACGUCGAUAAUCUGCCCUUAGGUUAGGAAUACCCACGGAAAACUGUGGCUAAAUCCUGAUAUUGAAGAGAUUCUGGAAAGAGCUUUUCAUUAAACGCAAGGUCUAAGGAUGAGUCGGCGGCGGAUUAGGCAGUUGGCGGUGUAACGGACCACCAAACCUAAGAUCCGUAGGGGCCCUGAGAGGGGUAGCCCCGAGAGGGACACUGAAAUACUGGUCCCAGCUCCACGGAGUGCAGCAGGCGCGUAACCUCCACAAUGCGCGAAAGCGUGAUGGGGGGAUCCUGAGUGCUUACAUUAAUUGUAAGCUUUUGCCAAGAGCAAAUAUCUUGGAGAAUAAGUGGUGGGAAAGACCGGUGCCAGCAGCCGCGGUNNCGGUAACCCCGGCGCCACAAGUGGCAAUCUUAUAUUGGGCCUAAAGCAUUCGUAGCCGGUUUGAAAAAUCUCUUGUGAAAUUGUUGAACUCAAUACAACAGCAUGCAGGAGACACUUUCAAGCUAGAGACUGGGAGGAGUUAGGGGUAUUUCUGGGGGAGCGGUUAAAUGUGAUAAUCCUAGAAAGACCACCUGUGGCGAAGGCGCCUAACUAGAACAGUUCUGACGGUGAGGGAUGAAAGCUAGGGUAGCGAUCCGGAUUAGAUACCCGAGUAGU